rnacentral:misc_RNA from 1 species
GAUGAAGAACGUAGCGAAAUGCGAUAAGUAAUGUGAAUUGCAGAAUUCAGUGAAUCAUCGAAUCUUUGAACGCAUCUUGCGCUCCUUGGUAUUCUGAGGAGCAUGCCUGUUUGAGUGUCAUUAAAUUCUCAACUACACUGACUUUGAAUUGGUGUGGCUUGGAUUUGGGUGGGAAAAUUGUUGUGGGCUUUUUGUAUAGUCUGCUCCCCUGAAAUUGAUUAGCGGUACCUUUGUGGAACUGUCUACAGGUGUGAUAAUUAUCUACAUCCUAGACAUCUGCUGGAAUGCUGCUUUCUAAACCUUACUUGUAUUGACAAUCUUGACCUCAAAUCAGGUAGGACUACCCGCUGAACUUAAGCAUAUCAAUAAGCGGAGA